UUUCCGUAGGUGAACCUGCGGAAGGAUCAUUACUGAGUGAGGGUCCCUCAGGCCCGAACUCCCACCCUGUGUUUCUGUGACCUUGUUGCUUUGGCGGGUCCGCCCCGAUGAGAGGCCGCCGGAAGCUCACCGCUUUGGGUCCGUGCCCGCCCGUAAACCCCUUAAAUUCUCAAUAAACCUUUCGACUGAGUCUAGAAAUAAUAAAAAAAACUUUCAACAACGGAUCUCUUGGUUCUGGCAUCGAAGAAGAACGCAGCAGAACGGAAAACCACACUUCUC
rnacentral:misc_RNA from 1 species